rnacentral:lncRNA from 1 species
AAGGGUUUGUUAGAGAAAGACAGAGAAGGUGAUUCAAGAAGCAUAACAUGGGGUGUAUUUUUUCAAGAGGUGAAAGAUGUUUGUUUUCUAGCUCUGCCUAUGAUCGCCGUCACUCUGUCACAAUAUUUUCUACAAAUUAUUUCAAUGAUAAUGGUUGGUCGUUUGGGUAAACUUGCUCUUUCUAGCACAGCUAUUGCUAUCUCUCUCUGUGGUGUCUCUGGCUUCAGUCUUCUUGUAAGUUUUUUUUUUUUCUUUUUUCCGUUUGGCUCUUGAUUUUAAGAGCAACUGUUGUAUUAUUUGCACUCGAAACAGUCAUUUGGGUUCUUGCUUAUGUCAGGGAGUGUCAUUAUUGCCUUUGAAUGUAUCAAAAUAAAUAAAAAAUAAAAAAAUAUCCUGAAUGCGUCUUUUGCUAGUCCGUUUAGUUCUCAAAUGUGUUUUCGAUUCGUUAGUUUUGUUGGGUUCAAGUGUGGGUGGUUACUCCCACAUCGCCUAUGAAUGAGUAAAAUAAUGUUGGAUACAUAAGAGAGAUGGCUCACAUGCCUAAUGUCUUAAAGUUUUGGGUGGGGAUGUGGCGUCUCUCUCGUGGCCUUGGAGCGUUGGCAUGUUGGGGAGUGGGAGGGGAUCCUGGUGUUUGGGUCAAUUAUAGGAGAUGGGAACUCGUAGUUGAGGGAGAGAUUGUUGAGUUCAAGUGUGAGGGCCUAUGAAUGGGUAAAAUAUUGGAUAUAAGAUAGGUGACCUAUAUACCUAAUGCCUUAAGAUUUUGGGUGGUCCUAGAGCAUUGGCUCGUUGCUGCUCCUGGCACUCCUCUGGACUCACCAACAAGUUUGAUAUCGAAUGUGUACUUUGUUUGUUGGUCCAUAAAAUUACUAAUAGAAGAAACAUUCAUGAAUAUUUUUGAAGUUUUUUGAUACAUUGAAGGACUAUAAUGACAUUGCCUCACAGAUUUAGGGACCAAAAUCAAUGUAUACUUAUUAUUUGAAUCCAAUUAUUAUGAAAUUGAUUGCAUUUUAUUUUAUACUUUGUGCAUAUCAAACAGUUUGGAAUGUCAUGUGCACUUGAAACUCAAUGCGGACAAGCUUAUGGUGCAAAGCAAUAUAAAAAAUUUGGUGUUCAAAUUUACACUGCUGUCUUUUCUCUUAUUAUAGCUUGUCUUCCUCUAUCUCUAUUAUGGAUCUUCUUGGGAAGGCUAUUGAUUUUACUCGGUCAAGACCCUCUGAUUUCACAAGAAGCUGGAAAAUUUUCCAUGUGCAUGAUUCCUGCUCUAUUUGCUUAUGCAACGCUUCAGGCACUGGUCAGAUACUUUCUGAUGCAAAGUUUGAUACUUCCUCUUGUUAUAAGUUCCACUGUUACCCUGUGCUUCCAUGUAGCUUUUUGUUGGCUGUUAGUUUUUAAAUCUGGAUUAGGUUGCUUAGGAGCUGCACUUUCUAUUGGUACUUCAUACUGGUUGAAUGUGAUUAUACUUGGAUUAUAUAUGAAAUUCUCCACUGAUUGUGAAGAAACUCGGGUUCCGAUUUCAAUGGAGCCAUUCCUUGGAGUAGGAGAGUUCUUUCGAUACGCUAUUCCAUCAGCAGGAAUGAUUUGGUAGUUCACUCCCUCCUUCACAUCUUACUUCCUACUUCAUGUAUUAUGUGUCUCAUUUAGAAUAUUUAUGUCUCAAAUUAUUUGUCAUUUGAUAAUAUGAAUAUAACAUUGACUACUUUUUUCCGAUGUUACCCUCAUUUAUUAAGUAGUUGCAUGUAUAUGGUGGACAAAUAAUAAAUGAGGUACAAGGAAUAAGUAAUCAUUUUCUUAAGAAGUAUGCAGCUUCCAAAUGAAACAAUAUGAGACGGAGAAAGUAUAUUUUAGUUUUGUGUUUCUUUCUCUGUUGAUUUUCAGCCAUGAUUUGUUUCUUACAUAUUUGAUCAUUUUCAGCCUUGAGUGGUGGUCAUUUGAACUCCUAAUCCUUCUUUCUGGUCUUCUACCAAAUCCACAGCUUGAAACUUCAGUCUUAUCCAUAUGGUAUAAAUACCACUUUUCUUAGUCUUUCAUAUAUGAAUUCCUUUGUGUCUUAAAAUUUGUGUUGAAAUUGUUACUCUAAGUCAAAAUUGUUUUUCAUUCAUAUAAGUGGUGCUAAUUAAUUGUGUAAAUUGUUUCUGUUUUUUUAUCAGUUUAUCAAUCAUCUCAACAAUCUAUACAAUACCAGAAGCAACUGGCUCAGCAGCAAGGUUUUGAUUCACAUUAGUUGUGCAUAUACAUUUUUGUGUACAAUAAAAUGCGAUGCUAUAUAUUUAUUUCUUUCUGAUUGGUUUUUCUUUUCAGCACUAGAGUUUCAAAUGCAUUAGGAGGUGGAUGUCCACAAGCAGCGCGAUUGUCUGUCUUUGCUUCUAUGACCGUUGCAGUUUCUGAGGCUAUUUUGGUGAGUUCCACCAUUUUCGCCUCUCGGAAGGUGUUAGGUUAUAUAUUUAGCAAUGAGCAGGAUGUGGUGGACUAUGUCACACAUAUGGUUCCUCUAAUAAGUAUAAAUGUUAUAGUGGAUAGUUUACAUGGCACCCUUUCAGGUUGGCUUUUUUUCUUUACUAUCCAAUGCACAAUACUUCAUUUGUUCAUUAAGUUUCUACUGCAUGAAUGAAUUAUGCUAUGGAAUGUAACACUUGUCCAUUAUAUUUAUAUACAGGUAUUGCUAGAGGAUCUGGUUGGCAGAAGUUGGGAGCAUAUGUGAACCUUGGAGCCUACUAUGUUUUUGGAAUUCCAAUUGCUGUUAUAUUGGGUUUCUGGUUUGAGUUGAGAGGAAAAGGACUGUGGAUUGGGAUACUUGUUGGUGCCUUCUGUCAAGCACUUUUGCUAGCCCUUAUAACAGGUUUUACAAACUGGGAAAAACAGGUUUGCCUUCGCUCCCAAGUCUUUGUGGCUCUACCUCUCUUCGCAUUAGUCACUAGUAUUAAAAACACAGUAAAUAGUCAUUUUGAUCCUUAGUUGUGUGAGGCGCUACACAGUAGUGUAUGAAUGUAGCAAAAUUAUAAAAACAUACCUAAACGCGACUUUCGUUAGUCAGUUCGGUUCUCGAGUGUGUCUGUUGUUAGUCAAUUUGGCCCAUAAAUGAGAUUACAAAUAAAAGGCACACUUGAGGGUGUUUUUGUAAUUUCAAUACAUUCAGGAGUUGUAGUGACAACACCUCACACAUUUAGCGACCAAACUGACCGUUUACUCUAAAAACACAAGUUCCACAUUAAAAAGAGAUAAAGUCUUUAAAAAGUACUAAGCUUCAGAAUCAUUUCAGAUGAAGAAAUCUUGUCAAGCUAAUAGUAUGAAAAUCUAAUAGGCACGGUUCAGAAGCAUCACAGAUCAAGAAAUCCUGUCAAGCUAAAUAUUUUCACAUUAUUAUGUUAAACUUGAGAAGAUAAUUAUGUUCAUACUCAAACAGAACUAACAUCUUAGGCCUUGCUAUCUUAUUAUGAUUCUGUAACAGUUUUGAACAUGUACUGUUUAUUGAAAUAUAAUAAUUUCUGGAAUGUCUGAUUGCAGGCAAUCAAGGCACGGGAAAGGAUAUUUCAAGGAAGACAGGAAGUUUUGCAGUAGAAGAAGAUAGAUCAAUUUGAACAAAUGGAGUAGGUUUCUCAAAGCUGCAGCUUGUUUAGUUAACAUCUCUAAAGCUUAUAGCUUGAUGUGAUUAGAGAGAAAUAUCAAAUCUCAGAUACUAUAAAGACUAAGGGGGAAAAAGUUUUCACGCGGAGAAAUAGUUAUAAAAUAGAUGAUAUUUUUUUUCUUCUCAGUUCAAUUUUUGGUAAGGCUCUGCAGUGUUAGUGUAUCCUUUAUCAUAUCAUGAUGAUGUAAAAGAAAUUGAAUGAUUUCAUCUCUUCAAUUAAAUUGGAAAUGAACAUGAGCCAAGUGAGAAUGAAAAAUGUUUGUUUUUCUGUUUUUGUUUUGUUGAUGCUAAUUUUUUAUUGGAUCAAUUUUUUGGAUUUUUUAUUGAAUUGUAACUUCUUGGUUUACCUUUUUCCUCUACUGUGAUUUUCUUUGUUGGAUGAUGAAUACAAUUAUAAUCUUUAUUGAGGGGAGAGAGAGAGAGAGAGAGAGAGAGAGAGAUGGGCGACAUAAAACGAAAAACAAACUCAUGCGAAAAUUGGAGAUUGAAAAUUUUAAAUUUAAUAAAUUAAAGAAAGGUGGUGGGAAUAGCAUCUAUUUACAUGUCAGGUGGUAAAAAAAGACUUAGUUUUAUAAUUAGUAAUAGAAUUCUCGCCUGAUAAUACAAGUUGGUACAUCACAAUUAACAUGUGAUUAUUGUUUAUUUGAUUUUUAAUAAUCUCAAGUUCUACAUAUUCAAAUAUUUACCCACAACAAAAGGCAAAACCGUAUCAAACCUGUGCUUUUCUAUCAGUUUUCAUUUUCAGCACUUGUUUAAACCAUAGUGCUGGAAGAUAUGGAAAAAGGUUUGUCAAAGAAAGACAAAAGAGGGAGAGGAUGGUUCAGGCAUAUCAUGGGGUGUGUUUGUUCAAGAGGUAGAAGAUGUUGGUUUUCUAGCUUUGCCUAUGAUUAGUGUAACUUUGUCACAAUAUUUUCUACAAAUUAUUUCAAUGAUGAUGGUUGGUCAUUUGGGUAAACUUGCUCUUUCUACCACAGCUAUUGCUAUCUCUCUCUAUGGUGUCUCUGGCUUCAGUCUUCUUGUAAGUCUUCUUUUCCCUUAUUAUGUCUAGUUAAAAAAUAUAUAUUUCAGAAAUUUAUGUCCUGUUGGUCAACUCUAUUUGUCGAGAGUCUUAUCAACUACUGAACGACUCUCGGCUCACCAAAAAAAGAAGAAUAAUGGCUCUCGAUAAAUAAAGUGUGACCUAUAUGACAUAAGUUUUAGAUUUUAUGGAAAUAAAUUUAACUUUUUUAAACCUCUGGCACAACCGUCUUCUCAUUCUAAACUUUCUUGUUGAACUUCCCUUAACCAAGAUUGAAACUUAUGUCUCUUCCAAAGCAUUAUAUAGUCAUGUCCUCCAUUUGUCAAGGAAAAUUCAUUUUCAAGUGAAUAUGGUACUUUGCCUUUGAAUUUGUGUCCAUCAGUUAACUUUGUCUCUGAAUUUUUUAAAAUAGAUAAAUGGUCUCUCAAUUGUUUCAUGUCCAUCAGAUGAGUUUCUUCGUCAAGUCCAAUUUGAUACCUAAAUUUGUGAGCACUAAAGAUGCUUUGGUAUCCCUCUUUUCCAAUGUUAUUUACCCUAAAGUGUCUCUUCUUCCUUCUAAUGUCCAAUUCUUCUCAUCUGUUAACAACAAUAAAAGGAAUAACUCAGGUACAAUGGUGAAAGUAAAUAUCAUCUCUAUUAUGUAGUCACUGCCACAAUUUCAUGGUUUUACGUAAACCUUGAUGCAUGUAGAAGAGGAUUUUUAGAUUUUUUAAAUGGGGGAAGAAGAAAUAGAAAAAAAAAAUCUGCUAAUCAUUGAAAAGAAACAAUCAAUACAAGAUAAAAUUAUUGGAAAAAAACUCAAACAUUUUACUAUAAACAAAUUUUAAUUUGUUGUCAAAUUAGUCUAUGUAUAUGUGGUAGGUGGCAUAAACAGAUACAUCAGUGUUU